UACGUAGGGUGCAAGCGUUGUCCGGAAUUAUUGGGCGUAAAGAGCUCGUAGGCGGUUUGUCGCGUCUGCUGUGAAAACCCGAGACUCAACCUCGGGCCUGCAGUGGGUACGGGCAGACUAGAGUGCGGUAGGGGAGAUUGGAAUUCCUGGUGUAGCGGUGGAAUGCGCAGAUAUCGAGGAGGAACACCAAUGGCGAAGGCAGAUCUCUGGGCCGUAACUGACGCUGAGGAGCGAAAGCAUGGGGAGCGAACAGG
rnacentral:rRNA from 1 species